AAAAAAAUAGAUAAAACUAGUAUCUCAAUUGUUUGUAAAACAAUUGAAAGGUCUUUCCUGUAAAAGUGAUGUUUUCGUAAUGUACUUUGUACGACCUUUCGUUUGAUAUACGACAAGCGUACCUUCUGAAACUUUUCGCUUUUUACACUUAAUGACCUCAUCCGCCUACAUUUUCGGGAUCGGAAGUAUGAUAUAUGUAACAUAGAGUAUAUUAGCUUUCAUUUGAUAUGCGACAACGCCAUGUUCUAGAAAGUUUCAUUUUUGCACUUAAUAACCCUAUCCAACUAAUUUUUGGAGGUCGGGAAUUUGAUAUUUCAAAUGUACAAAUCAUGACCUUUCAUUUGAUAUACAACAACCCUAUCUUAAAAGAAAAUUUACUUUUUGCACUCAAUAACCCCAUCCAACCCAUUUUUGGGAGACGUCAAUUUGAAAUUUGAAAUGUACACUUUAUGUUCUUUCAUUUGAUAUGCGACAACCUUACCAUCUGAGAAAUUUGAAUUUUUGCACUAAAUGACCCCACCCGUCCCCCUGGGAUGAAAAGGGUGUUUAAAAUUUUCAUUUAUAAGUAGAGUUUAUUAAGACCUUCAAUUUGAUAUAUCAGAUGACCCCAUUUGACAAAGUGCAAAUAAUGAUGCAAUAUCAACUAUAUAAAUAGAAGUUAUGAAACUUACAAAGUCAAUGCAAAACAUGAAAAUUUCAAAUUGAAUUUUUGGUUGUUUUUUUCCAUGGAAUGUUUUUGGUAUUUGGUCAAACAUAUAACUAUGUUAACCUAUCAUUUUCUAAAACAUUUUAAGUGGUAAACUCUUGUUGAUUCAGAAAUACAUGCCUCCGCUCGCAAAACUUCAAAUUGCAUUAUCUCUAAAACGACAAUAGAUAUCUCAAAUCUGUUAAAUGAUAAAUGAUCUACAGUUGAAGGACAACAUUAUAGAAAAAGAAUUGGGACAAUUUCAAAGUUCACCAAGGUCACAAUUAAUCAUCAAAUAUAUGAUGCAAUACCAAACUUAAGAACCGGAAGUCGUAGAGACAUGGGACAACCACCAUUCAACUCAGGACCACUUAACCUUU
rnacentral:lncRNA from 1 species